ensembl:lncRNA
AUGGGUGUUACGCACGAUUCGUCUCGGAUACACCAUUCAGUUUCGAAAAGGCCCGCCUCCUUUCCGCGGAAUUCUUCCCACGGUUGUGAAACCAGAGGAAGUCGCGGUGCUGCGGCAAGAAAUGACAGCUCUGCUGAAGAAAGGGGCUAUAGAAGAAGUACACCCCUCUCAGAUGGAGUCAGGUUUUUACAGCCGCUAUUUUGUUGUACCAAAAAAAGGGGGCGGUUUGCGACCCAUAUUGGAUCUACGCCGUUUGAAUCUUGCACUCAGGACGAGCAAAUUCAAGAUGUUAACGGUAAAGUCCAUUUUGUCUCAGAUUCAACCAAACACUUGGUUUGUCACGAUCGAUCUGAAGGAUGCAUAUUUUCAUAUUCAGAUCAUCAAGAGACACAGGAAGUUCCUCAGAUUCGCUUUAGAGGGCAAAGCGUAUCAAUACCGUGUUCUUCCGUUCGGCUUAGCCCUGGCUCCCCGAACUUUUUCAAAAUGCAUGGACGCAGCUCUGGCCCCGUUGCGGCUCCAGGGCGUUCGUGUGUUGAAUUACUUGGACGAUUGGCUGGUGCUAGCUCAAUCACAGACUCAAGCACUCUCUCACCGAGAUUUAGUGCUGAAUCAUUUAAGAAGCCUGGGCUUAUGCACGAAUUUCCAGAAGAGUGUUUUAAUCCCCUCUCAACGGAUAACCUUUCUGGGAAUAGAUUUGGACUCUCGCGCGAUGACAGCCAGACUAUCUCUCCCGCGCGUUCAGUCUCUCACGUCAUGCGUGCGUCACUUCAAAGUAGGCCGCACAGUGACGGUGAGUUUGUGUCUCAGGCUGUUAGGUCUGAUGGCAGCGGCAUCCCCUGUAAUUCGUCUGGGCUUACUUCACAUGCGCCCUUUUCAGUGGUGGACGAAAAGUCAGAACAUUUCACCCCGUUGUUUUCCGCAUCGUACGAUUUCGGUGACACGGAGGUGUGUUAUGUCAAUAAAACAGUGGAUGUCAACCGAGUUCCUUCUAGCCGGAGUUCGGCUGGGGAUUUGUGCUUCCCGAGAGACUGUCACGACGGACGCGUCUUUGACCGGUUGGGGAGCUGUUUGUCAAGGGCGCCCAGCUCAUGGAGUGUGGACAGCGACACAACGCGGUUGGCACAUAAACAGGUUGGAACUACUGGCAGUUUUUCUAGCUCUCCAGUAUUUCUCAAAUCUGCUGACCGGCCGUCAUGUACUACUCAGGUCAGACAACAUGGCGGUUGUGUCAUACCUGAAUCAUCAAGGAGGGUUACGCUCUCGCCCCCUGUGCAGGCUGGCGAGGAGUAUUCUUCUUUGGUCUCGGAACAGAUUUCUAUCGAUCCGAGCAGUUCAUGUCCCCGGACGUUUGAACGUCGGAGCGGAUCUGCUAUCCAGACAGACUCUGGAGCAGGGGGAAUGGAGAUUACACCCACAGACGGUGAGCCUUUUAUGGCAGAUAUUCGGAGAGGCGAGAGUGGACUUAUUCGCGUCGAGCACGACUACGCAUUGCCCGCUGUGGUUCUCCCUAUGCCCUCCAUCGCCCCUAGGCCUGGAUGCGUUAGCUCACGAUUGGCCCAGGACCAGCUUGUAUGCUUUUCCUCCAAUUCGUUUAAUUCCAGCGGUGUUGUCCAGGAUACGGCUGGACAGAGUGGAGCAGCUGCUGCUGGUGGCUCCGUGGUGGCCCACACAGCCGUGGUUUGCGGAACUGGUCAGUCUAAUAGUGGGCUCUCCAUGGGAGAUUCCCCUCAGACAGGACUUACUAUCGCAAGCACGAGGGAUGAUUUGGCACCCGAGGCCAGAUCUGUGGAAACUGUGGGCGUGGCCUCUGAGCGGAGUGAGUUAAUAUGUCCCGGUCUUUCUGCGGAAACCUCCGAGACUAUUAUGAAUUCCAGAGCAGCAUCUACGAGACGCUUAUAUGCUUUCAAAUGGAAGCUGUUUACGACCUGGUGUGGUUUUCGUAGUAUAGACCCAGUUUACUGCCCAGUGGCUUCAGUACUGGAGUUCCUUCAAGACCGUUUCUCUGAUGGAGUAACGCCAGCAACUUUGAAAGUUUAUGUGGCAGCCAUUUCAGCUAACCACGUAUAUAUGGAUGGUGCUUCAGUGGGCCGUCAUCCGCUGGUCUCUCGCUUUUUACAAGGUGCGCGACGGCUGAGGCCUUUCCGCCCUGUGCGAGUUCCCUCAUGGGAUUUAUCUAUUGUACUGCAAGGUCUAUCAGGACAUCCGUUUGAGCCCUUGGAAACCGUACCGGAUAAAAUCCUGACCUUGAAGACAGUUCUUCUUAUGGCCUUAUCCUCCCUCAAGAGAGUUGGGGAUUUACAGGCUCUUUCUGUUUCGCCGUCGUGCAUGGAUUUUGCACCAGGCUUUGUGAAGGUAUUGCUGCGACCGAGGCCUAAUUAUGUCCCUAAAGUCGCUUCGAACCCCUUUCAUUUUCAGCAGACGGUCCUGGAGGCUUUACCCCCUGCUGGGAUAGGAUCAGAAGAUCUAAGUCUUUGCCCUGUCAGAGCGCUUAAGACUUAUGUCGAUCGAUCAGCCUCAUGGCGUGAGUCCGACCAGCUGUUUGUCUGUUUUGGACACAAGAAUAGAGGCCAUGCUGUCACAAAGCAACGCAUGUCCCAUUGGUUGGUGGAGGCAAUAUCUUUAGCCUAUGAGGCGCGCGGUCUCGCCUCGCCUCUAGGAGUCAAAGCUCAUUCCACUAGAGCAGUCGCUUCCUCUCAGGCGGCCCUCAGUGGAUCUUCUAUGGCUGAUAUCUGUGCUGCGGCAGGAUGGUCCUCACCGAGCACUUUUAUAAAGUUUUACAGUCUGGAUGUAAGGACGGCUCCUGGCUCCCGGGUUCUCUCCGCUUGA